UUCCUCUGGUGCAUAAUUCCCUGGAGGCCAGCAGAGGACAGCUGGAUGGAAGAUGGGGAGAACAUCGCAGGACCACAGCAGGGACAUGGCAAGAGCUCGCCUGCUUUUCCAGAGGCAGUUUUCAAACAUUUGAAAGAUGUUAGCCGAUGAGAAAACUAAGGAUUAAGUAGUUUGGCCAAGAUCACAUGAAGUUGUAAGCAGUGGCACUGGAAUCCACAACGGGACAUCUGGUCUCCAGGACUUCUGCUCUAACCCCCUCCACUAGCGUGCCUCCUGCGUCUCAGUUUAUCUACAAUUCCCCUCUUGAUGGACAGUCGGUCUGUGUGCAGUUUGUGGCUAUUAUAAACAAUGCUGUAGUGAACACCUUUCUCACUCAUCUUUGAGUGCUAACUCCCCACUUUUUAAAAAAGACGUAUUUAUUUUAGAGAGAGAGAGAGUACAAGAGGGGGAAGGGGCAGCGGAAGACAAUCUUCAAGGAGACUCCCUGCUGAAUGUGAAGCCCAGCGCGGGACUCAAUCUGACAACCCU